rnacentral:rRNA from 1 species
GUUACCCUACGGGGCGCAGCAGUGAGGAAUAUUGGUCAAUGGUCGGGAGACUGAACCAGCCAAGCCGCGUGAGGGAGGAAGGUACAGAGUAUCGUAAACCUCUCUUGUCAGGGAACAAAGGCGGGGACGUGUCCCCGGAUGAGUGUACCUGAAGAAAAAGCAUCGGCUAACUCCGUGCCAGCAGCCGCGGUAAUACGGAGGAUGCGAGCGUUAUCCGGAUUUAUUGGGUUUAAAGGGUGCGCAGGCGGUCCGUUAAGUCAGCGGUCAAAGCCCGGGGCUCAACCCCGGCCCGCCGUUGCAACUGG